UUGCUGAACUUUUUUCAACCCGUGUACCCAUUUCCCCUAAUACCCAUUUCCUCAACCAUUCUUCGGUCUUCCCUUUCCGCUCAGUCCCUUCAAUCUUCAAUGUUCUUCGUCUUUCCAUUCCUGGUCCGUGCGUGGUGGUCUAUCUCUCUCGGUUUCCCGUAGACUCGGUCUCUCUCUCGGUCUCUCGGUUUCAGUUCGUGGUCCGUUCGUAGCUUGCUCUUGCAAGUCAGCCCUCUUGCAGGUCAGCCCUCUCUUUGUACCAAGUUCUCCUUUGCUCUAUCAAUGGAGGAGCCUCUUCUAUUCUGAGAAAUACCUCAAACCCACCAGCUGUUUCACUCAUUCUCAGGUUGGGGAUCGAAUUGGCAAGGAGCAUUGCAAAGGUAAUUUGCAAGAGGUACGGAAUUUGUUCUUUUAACUCUUAUUAUUAAUAUCUUUAAAAUGUUAGAGGAGUUUGAAUAUCUUAAAUAUUCAUCCAUAGAGAAGUAGGUUCUGAGAUUAAAAUUGUGUGCUGCGAUGAUAACGGAAGGUUGAAAACUUGUGUGUAUUAGAGAAGUAGGUUCUGGAAAAUUUGUUUGUGUGCUGCGGUGAUAUAAGGAAGAAAACUUAUUGUGUGUUGUUUGAAUUUUUUGACUUGGUAUUGAUAGAUGGUUAGGUAAGCUUUUAUAUGUAUAGAUUAGAUUUUUCAUUAUAUGUAUAGAUUAAAUUUUUCAUUUAGUCAUAUUGUUUUCAUUAUUUCCAUAUGUAUAGAUUAGAUUUAAUUGCCACAACCCAAGCUAAAAUCUUGUCUU